UAGGUUAUAAAACAGAACCAUUUCUUGGGUGUAAUGCAAGUGAAGAGAGUUUGUCAUGUUUCAUAUGUGUUUAUAAGAAGAAAGUGUUCAAUGUGGUUAUAAUUUAGGGUACAGUGUUAUUUAUUGCCAGUGUUAUUAUUAGGGUGUUGUGCCAGUAGAUCGCCAGUAGGUGUCAGUGUCGCUACAGAAGUCGUGUAUGUGAAGUGAGCGUCACAGGGAAGUCUCGCGUGAAUACGUGAGAUAACGAGAAUCUCUGCGUACAAGAUAGAAACAGAAUACACUGUGUAGCGAUGUCAACCUAAAGCAUUAUUUUACAUUUUGCAGUGGCCUGAGAGGGUCCGAGGGAGGUGAGACUUUCAACACACUACUCUUUUGACCUCUUCCUCCUCCUCCUCCUCUCACAUUUCUAAUGACUGCAGGGACACUGAAGCAAGUUCUGGGUCAAGGACCAUACCGCUCCUUCUGACACCCAGCCACAGUACGGGUCUCUGGAGGCUAUACAAGACCUGGAUGUGACACAUAUACACAAUCAUCAUAUGCGAGACAGCGGCACUUUAACCACACAGGAGCCGAAAGCGACCCACAGUGCGUGACUCUUGCCGUCUAUCUGCAUGCCGAUGAUGCGUUUGUCGUCCACGCCAUCAAUACUGCACCUAGAAGACAGAGGAGAAGAUAAAAGGUUUGAACGCACCAGCGGAUGAGAAAUCAAUCACAUCAAUCGCUGCGGAGACAUCGGAGGGGGGUAUAUCCGAUCUACGCAACGUCUGACCUUGUCGAACACAAACAGGUGUGGAGAAGGUCGCCAUCACUACGUCCCUCCCGUUGAUGUGGAUGACAUCUGUCACAGCCUGCAGGAUGUUGAAGUAGAAGUGGGAGUCGCCGGGGAUGGAGCAGUUCAGGCGAGACUUGAGGAACGAGGUCCACUGCUUCUCCAGGACGCGGGGCGAGCCACCUCGGUCGAUCUUGCAAACCCGGGCCACCCGAGGAAACACCACCUGACGGAGACACACACAGCUGUCUUCAGCCCCAACCGACGCUGCCUCAAGCCGCAUAACUUGAGUAUGGUUACAGUGCGACUGGCAGGGCAUGGCGGUGGAUCAGAUGUGGGUGAAAGGUCACUAUCAGCCCUCCACGGGUUGGCUUGUCUUCCCCAGCAUGCCUCAGGACACUCUCUACCCGACUACAGACCAGAGAUGCACACACACGAGAGAGGAGAGAAGAAAAGCCAUACUGCGCUGUCCAGAGGCUGAGACCUGCCACUGUGCCACUGAUGAGCGUUGGUUGACGCAGGCGGUUUGCUAGCUGAUUGAUUGGAUAAUCUUCUUAACGGGGUCAGCAUGGCGAGCGCGGCAGGCUCACGCCGGUGAGUGGGUGAGUAAGACUCCUGGCAGGCACACGUAUACGCCCACGUGCACACACACAGUGGCACUCAGAGCCAGGUUAUUAGGGUUACGUUGUCAAUCACAGCA